rnacentral:rRNA from 1 species
UCCCUACGGGGCGCAGCAGGCGCGAAAACUUUACAAUGCGGGAAACCGUGAUAAGGGGACACCGAGUGCUAGCAUCAUAUGCUAGCUGUCCAGGCGUGUAAACUACGCCUGUUAGCAAGGGCCGGGCAAGACCGGUGCCAGCCGCCGCGGUAACACCGGCGGCCCGAGUGGUAAUCGUGAUUAUUGGGUCUAAAGGGUCCGUAGCCGGUUUGGUCAGUCCUCCGGGAAAUCUGAUAGCUCAACUAUUAGGCUUUCGGGGGAUACUGCCAGAUCUGAACAGAGA